rnacentral:rRNA from 1 species
AUUGAACGCUGGCGGCAUGCUUUACACAUGCAAGUCGAACGGUAACAGGCCGCAAGGUGCUGACGAGUGGCGAACGGGUGAGUAAUGCAUCGGAACGUGCCCAGUCGUGGGGGAUAACUACUCGAAAGAGUAGCUAAUACCGCAUACGAUCUAUGGAUGAAAGCGGGGGACCGUAAAGCCUCGCGCGAUUGUAGCGGCCGAUGUCAGAUUAGGUAGUUGGGGGGGUAAAGGCUUACCAAGCCAACGAUCUGUAGCUGGUCUGAGAGGACGACCAGCCACACUGGGACUUGGACACCGCCCAGACCCCCACGGGGGGGAAGCAGUGGGAAAUUUGGGAAAAGGGGGAAAGCCUUAACCAGCAACGCCGCGUGGAAGAAAGAGGGCCUCGGGUUUUAAAACUGUUUUUUUAGGGAAAAACACGGCUUUGGUUAACACCGGGGGUCAAGGCGGGACCUGAAAAAAAAACCACGGCUAACUACGUG